UACGUAGGGGGCAAGCGUUGUCCGGAUUUAUUGGGCGUAAAGAGCGUGUAGGCGGCUUUGUAGGUCCGCUGUGAAAACUCGAGGCUCAACCUCGAGCUGUCGGUGGAAACCGUAAAGCUAGAGUCCGGAAGAGGAGAGUGGAAUUCCCGGUGUAGCGGUGAGAUGCGCAGAUAUCGGGAAGAACACCCGUGGCGAAGGCGGCUCUCUGGGACGGUACUGACGCUGAGACGCGAAAGCGUGGGGAGCGAACAGG
rnacentral:rRNA from 1 species